UUUCCUUCUUCCUUCUUUCUUUUUCUCUUCUUUCUUUCUUCUCUUUUCUGCAAAACCGGAACCCAUUUCCGGCGAAGUCACCGCCACCGGCCGCACUACCGGCCAUUAGAGGAUCUUCUCUUCCUUCUCUUGCAUCUAAGCUCGUUUUGAUCGGUGGAGGAAGAUUUGAAGGUGUUUGAGACUGUGAACAGUACCGUGAACAGACGUAUUGAGCCCUCGAGCGAGGAGGACACGGGCAGGCAGCAAGAUUAGAUGCGUGACUCACUUAUUUCAGAUUUGCCGAGAUCGCGUCCAGGAACUAGAGGCUUGGAAAUCAGCGCUUCCGUUUUGUUCGUAGGUUAUUACUUAACCUACCUUGUAUGAUAUCGGCUUAGUUAUGUAGAAUUGCUCUGAUAACCCCUUUCAAAUUUGGAGAAUGUUAAUGCUUGAGAAUAUGUUAUCUUAUGGAGAUUAACGUGGAAUUCGUACUUCCGGAAUGUAAUAUAUACGCUUGGAAUGUAAAUGUUAGAAUGUAUCUUCGUGUGUGAGCUUAGUUUUAAGCAUGUCCAGGUUUUGCAAAUUUUUGGGUAGCUCAUUUUAGGGGAGGUUCUG